rnacentral:snRNA from 1 species
ACUCCUGUAACAUUAUUCAAUAAACAAAUAAUCUGUUCUUAUCAGCUUAAUAUCUGAUACGAUCCCCAUGUGGGAUCCUCGAUAUUAAACUGAUUUUUGCAACAUGGCGAAGUGCUAGGAGCUUGCUCCACCUUUGCCGCGGAUCGGCCCGGUAUUGCAGUACCUCUGGGAUCGGUCCACUCCCU